rnacentral:lncRNA from 1 species
ACUGGGCCGAUGAGUAGGCAAGAAAGCACUUUGUCACUCUCUGGAGGAGAAGAACUGAGAGCUGCCCUUGGAAAGGAGCCUGCACAGCAACCUGGGUCACUGAACAUGCCACAUGCCGAAGGAAUUACCACUGUUCAGUCUGGAUACCCAUGUGUUGGGCGCACUGCAAAGAAGAGGAGGGAUAAUGACAGUGGCCAGUGUUUCUCCCACAGGUAAACAGAUUCAAAUUAAUGUUCAAGUUUCUGGCCUAUUCUUGGGCCACUUGGAAGCAAAUGGCAGCAGCUUCUGUCUCCCUGUACUCCUUUGAUUGUGGGCUGCCUGGAGGAGCAGGGAGCUCACUUUUGGGGAUCACAUUAAUCUGAGAGUAAUUCUUCAGAGAAAGGGUAGCACUCACCAGUCAGCAGGCAGCACUCAGUAGCUGAGGAAGGGCACACAGUCUCAUAAAGGGGAUUGGGUGGGACCCCCAACCACGUUCACUCUGGAGAGACUCAACUGCCAUGCUGAGGAGUUUGGGAUUUCCUCACUGACACUGGUAGACUAUUAAUCCCCUCAGGAGGGUAUUUCCAGGUCACGAAACUAUUCUGGGGUGAAAAAUAUGGAGUGUUAGGAAGAAUGGAUUAGAAGAAUGUGUGACUAAAAGGACAAAGACCCUUUUGUAGACAAUGAUGAUAAAAUAUCUCAUAUUUAUUGAUCAUCAAUGCAUUAUGUGGAUUAUCUCAGUUCUCAAAAUAUUCUCCUAAAUCUUAUUUUAUUACUGGUGGGGAAAAUGAGGUUCUGAAAGUUUAAGUCAUUUGCUCAAGUCCCAAGGCUGAUAAGUGAUGGAGCCAGCAUAAUCACUGCUUUCCAUGGCUAGGCAGUAGGAAGAACUCAGUACUUUUAUGUGAGGAUGGAGAUCAUGUGUAUUAGUUUCCUAUGGUUACUAUAACAGACUAUUACAAACUUGGUGUCCUAAAACAGAAGUUUAUUCUCUGAGAGUUUCAGAGACCAGCAAUCAGUAUAACUUGGCUGAAGUCAACAGGUGGCCAUUUUUCAGCCUACCACAUUAUAGAACAACAUGUUUUUGAAGUCAUGCAAUUAGGAGAAUAGUGGCAUUAAUGGGGGAAAAAAAAAAGGACAAGCACAUGAUUGGAUUAGAGACAGAAAUGGAGGAGUCUGAUUUGGGGUGACCUGAGUCUGGAGUGUUGGCAGAACAUCCAAGUGGACAAAUCCAGAAGAUAGUUGGAAGACUGUGAGCGGUGCUAGGAGAGCAGAGAUGUAGAUUUAGCAGCACUAUGAGUAGGAAGGGAUGGGCAAGGCUGAGAAAGUCCCCAUUACCACCCAGAACACUGCCUGACAUUGGAAGGCUGGCCUCUCCUCAAUGUGCAGCAUGCCUGAUGUUCUUGCUUUCUUCUCGUCAACUUGCAGGAUAGCACUUACUCAGAUCUACACUCCAAGUGUAAGAGUUCCUAUAACCUCUGCCAAUCUCUUCUUUCGUUUGAUUCACAACUUCUGCUUGACACAACACAUGGAUAGACCUAUGGCCUCUCUUUCUUUCAGACCCCCAUCUAAUUCAGUCUUGUCCCUUUUCCCUUUCUCUGUGUAUCCACCUCUGUCAUGUCCAGUCCUUACUUGUCUUUUCUAUUCUUCUUUGCAUAAUGUCUACCUAAAUAUGAGCUUUAUAUUCCUUACCUGGUUGCUUUGUAGGGAACACUGUCUUAUAACUUAUACCAUAGAGUUCUUCUCCCAUUUCCUCUAUCAGAACUAGAACAUAGGUUAAUCUGCUUCUUGCUCCUUGUUGUUCUUUCAAACCACUGAAAUACAGCUAUCACCCCAAAACUCCAUUUGAGACCUAUAAGGACUAUUAAUAGCCUUAUCAUUCUUCAUUUCUAAAACUCUCUUCUGCUGUGUGUAUCUUUCCAGGAUCUGGCUCCAGCUUCUUUUAGGACUUUCACAGAGAAAUUCCAUUUGUCUGUUACAUCCCAAGGACAUUCCUUUUCAACUUCACUGCUUUACUUUAUUCCUUUCAGAGCUUUUAUCCUGUUACCUCUCCACUCUCCCUUCAUAACAGUACAGAUUCCAGACUUUCAAGUGCUUCAUCUUGCCUGUUAAAAACCUCUGAUUGUACUUGGAUCUCUAUUCAGCUAGAACAUCAUGAUAUGAAUUACAUUCCUUCAAUUGUCCAGGUUCUGUGCUCAGUACUAUGGGAUCUGAGAUGAAUCUGACACUGUCCGUGUGUUUAGUAAGUUCACAGCCAAGUAGACAGGAUAAGUACACAAGUAACUACCAUACAUGUAGGGUAUGUUGAGUAUGAAAAGAGAGGGAUAAGUUGUGAGAAAUUCCAGAGGAUAAAGAAAUUAAUGAAGGAAAGAUCAACUGGUAAGGUAGCUUUUGAGUUAGGUAGGACAGAAUGAGAAGGAAAAAUAUAUUCCAAACUAAGAAAGUAUUGAAAGGAAAGGCAAGGGAUAUGCAGGACAAAUGUAGUUUAGUUUUGCUGGAAUCCAUGUCUCUUAAUCUGCUCAGGCUGCCAUAACAAAUUACCACAGAAGAGAUGUCUUACAACAGAAGUUUAUUUUCUCCCAGCUCUGGAGGCUGGGGAGUCCAAGAUCAAUGUGCCAACAGAUCCAGUCAGGGCCUUCCUCCCAGCUUUCCAAGGACUGCCUUCUUGCUAUGCCUUCACAUGGCAGAGAGUGAGGGCUCUCUCUCUUCCUCUUUUUAUAAAGUCACUAAUUCCAUCACUAAUUCCAGCCUUAAGGUCUUCAUCUAACCUGAAUUUCCUCCCAAAGGCUUCAUAUCCAAAUACUAUUGCAUUGGUAGUUAGGGCUUCAAGACACAAAUUUGGGGGGAAGGGGGACACAAUUCAGUCCCUUGCACCAUGGUACAAAAUAAAGGAAAUAAACUGGAGAAGUAGGAAGGCUAGAUUGGGGUUGAAUUGCAGAAUGUAUUAAAGCUAAGGAAUUUUUAUUUUUCUUGAUAAGAAAUGUGGAAUGUUUAAGGCUUUUUAAUUUAGUAAGCACUUAUCAUGAGCCACUAUGUUUAAGGCAUUUCUCCUAGUAUGAGUGGUGGCAGCUCUAUGAUUUUAACUUUAAUGAGAUCAAUUUUAGUGAAAAGGCAAGAUAAAAUAUAUGAAUAGUUAAUAUGUGAGCAUAUAUUAUUAAUGAUAGAGUUAUUAAUGAAGUAUAGUUUUAGCCUAGGGAAGUCAACAGUGCUGAAAAAGUCAGGAUCUUUUUCAGAGCCGUAUUUGGGACAUUAAUGUGGCAACAUGGUGAGGAAAAUUUGGAAGUGUGAAAGAAUGGAGGCAGAGAGAUAACUUUGGCAUUUAUCAAGCAGUAAUCUAGGUAAGACAUCAUCAAGACCUGAACUAGAGGGGUAGCUCUUAGAAAUGGCUGUGAGAGACACUGAAGAGACACAACUCAUAUGAUUUGGCAACUACCUCAAAGAUGGGAGAAAGGUGAUGGAAUUUCCAAGAUUAUCUUGAGGGUUUUUUCCCUCUGGCUGCCUAGUUCAAGAAUAGUGUCACUAAUGGAAAUGAGAAGGUUGAAAACUUGUAUUUAGGUACAAAUCAAGUUGGGAUUUGAACUUGAGUUUAUAGUGACACAGGAUGUCUAGAAAGGGGUGUUGAAAUGUGGCACUGGAGCUUAGGAUGGUGAUAAAGACUAGGGAUGCAGAGUUUGGAAAUACCUGGAAAGGGUUGCUUAAGCCUUGGGAAAAGAUGUGAUCAUGAAGCAAGAGUAGGAUCCAAGGGCAGAGUUUGGGAAACACCUACAUUUAUUGACCUGGAAGAGAAGCCAGAAAGAAAUUAGAUAAAAGGCAGCAGGGGAAAUAAGAGUAGAAUCUAGACAGGAUGUCACAGAGAGAGGAAUUUUUAUAUGGAGAGUGAUCAAAAGAGAAAGAUGGAGAUCAAAGAAUUUGAGGAAGAAGCAUAGGAAGCUUCCUCUGGUUACUUUGCAGGUUACCUUCCAAACAAUAGUUCCAGCAAUCUUGGAUAGAGUUGCAUUCUGAGGUGUUUCUAAGAGGCAAAACCUGGAGGAAUAACAGAAGACUUAUCUUCAACAUUUUGAUAGCAAAAAGGGAAGGGUGAGGAAAAGAUCAAAGCUUAGUUUAUCUGCGAAUAAUAAUAACAAACAAUUGGGUACUUAGAACGCAGCAGACUUUUCUUAAGUUUUUUUUUUUUUUUUUUUGGUAUGAUUUUACUCAUUUCAGUCUCAUAAUUCUCUGAGGUAGUUUAUUUAUGUUACCUCCAUAUGACUGAGGAUCAAGGGCACUCAAGUAACUUGCCCAAGAUAACAUAGCUAGUGACUAACUGACAGAGCUCGGAUUCAAGUUCAUGUAAGACUGACUCAAAAAUUCUGGGUCAGGAGAAAGAAUUCUGCUUCUGUGCAAACUGUCCAGUAUGUCUGUAGAUUUAAAGAAAGAGAAAGAAAAGGAUUGCAAAAGAUGAAGCAGAGAGGAUGGUUCCAGACAGAGGUGGUCAGCCACUUCCGUGCUCUUUCUAACAACACAGACUCCAGAUGUCCCUGCUGCCUUGACCCCCACAUUUCUGCCAUGCCAUCUGGUAUCACUCCGACUUUGGUUUUCAAUUCCCACGUGCCUUUUUUUUUUUUUUUGAAUAUGCAAAUCAUGCAGAUUCCAUCUACUGCAUAUUUAGUAAUUAGUUAUUCCUGUCUAUUUCCUAGAAAUCUUUCUUGUGGUUUACCUCAUCAAUUCUCACAAUAGCCACUGAAAAACUUUAUUUUCCAGAAAGCAACAAAUUGACACUUUCUACCUCAUCAAAAAAAUACCACACCCCAGAUCAACUUUCCUAGAGAAUGAUAUCAGCACUCUCUUUGGAGACCUGAAAUGUUUCCCACUCCCUAUGAGAUUUCUGUACAAAUUCCUCAGCAUGUUACACAAAGCCCUCUUAAGUUUGAUCUAUAUCUUUUUAUUCCUUUUAUUUACUGCUCCCUAUAUAAACCGUCCAGAAUACUCAUUAUUUCUGGAGUCUGGCUGUCUUUUUAUUCUUUGAGUCUUUGAUCUUGCCAUUCCCUUGGUUUUGGAUGCCCACUCUGUCAUUUCAUUCAUUGAAAUGCUCAUGACCCUUACACUCCAAAGUCAAAUGUAUCCUCUUUGAGAAGCUUGAUUAUCCCAGUAGUGCAACUACCGCUUUCUCUUCUGAGCUCAAAAUCAAACAGGUGAAACACAGAUAUUACUGCCAUAGACUUACAGAGCCUUGCCUGUUACACUUACUUGGAAUAAUAAACCUGCUUCAAAGGGCUACAGAGAAAAGGACAGGGGGUAACUUAUCCAAAUGCCCUCAUCAUUUUUACAUUCCAAAGCAUUUUAAGAGUAAAUAGUGGGCCUAAUUUAUUCUUCAUUUCCCAGUAGAGUUGACCACAGUGACUUGUCCUUAGUCUACUCAGUAAUAAUGUGUUGAAUGAAAGAAUGAAUGGGUGAAUGAAUGAUGCUUUUAGAUGUAGAGUCACAAUGAUGAAAAUAAUAUAAUCAAUAGAUUCUUGAGGUUGAGGGAAUUCUCCCCACCAACCACCCAAAUUAUAUCAAUAUUACAUUUUCUACUGUAAUACAUGUUAAGAUUUUCUAUGAAUUCUGACAACUGCUUGUAGAUAAAAAUGAUCAAGUUAUAUCAGCAUUUCUAUGCUGAUAUAAGACACAAGUCAUUUGACUCAUGAUACUAUAAUAAGAAAAAAAAGAGUUCCUGCUGUCACUCAGCUGUAACCAACCCGACUAGUAACCAUGAGGAUGCAGGUUUGAUUCCUGGCGUCACUUAAUGGGUUAAGGAUCCAGCAUUGCUGUGAGAUGUGGUGUAGGUUUCAGACAUGGCUCAGAGCCUGCAUUGCUGUGGCUGUGGUAUAGGCUGGCAGCUACAGCUCUGACUCAACCCCCAGCCUGGGAACCUCCAUAUGGGGUGGAGGCAGCCCUAAAAAGAAAAAAAAAAAAAAAAAAAAAAAAAAAAAAA